AAGAGGGCCUUAAGGUAUUUAAAAGGGACUGUGAACUAUGGUGUGUUUUACAAAAAGGGAGGAACUAGUGAUUUGGUGGAAUUUACCGAUAGUGAUUAUGCUGGUGAUAUGGGUCAUCUAGAAAGCAACCCAUUGUCACUUUGUCAACCACGGUAGCUAAAUUUUAUAGCUGCGAUAUGUGCCUGGCAAGCUAUUUGGAUGAGAUGGGUACUGAAAAAAAUCGAUCAUAUUCAGAAACCGGAGUUUAGUUGAAGGAUUGUUUUGACAGCUGUGAUAGGAUUUUUGGGGUCAGCUUAUAGUACUGUGGAUGGUGUUGGUGGGGGUGGCAUUUUUGUCCCUAUGCUUACUUUGCUUCUUAGAUUUGAUACCAAGUCUGCUGCUGCUAUUUCCAAAUGACUAUAAUGUAGAUGGAGAGCUUUCAUUGACCAAGUUCUCUUAUUUGGUUCAUACACUAGCAACUAAAAAGGUUCUCAACUGAAGAUCAUCUCAACUAUACUUAUAGUUCUUAUUAACUCUGAUAGUUUAUUCUACUUCUUUCAACUUGGGGAUUAAAAAGUGAAGGAAUUCAAGUUGUAGAUGAAGUGUUUAAUGAAAGUUCUAAGCAAACUACUGCUUGAUUGAUCAAA